UAUUAGAAGCCGAAAGGCUACUUAAAACCAUCGCGAACUCGUCCAAGUUGCUUCGGCGGCGCGGCCUCCCUCACGGGGGCGCCGCAGCCCCGCCUCUCCGGAGGUGUGGGGCGCCCGCCGGAGGUACGAAACUCUGUAUUAUAGUGGCAUCUCUGAGUAAAAAACAAAUAAGUUAAAACUUUCAACAACGGAUCUCUUGGUUCUGGCAUCGAUGAAGAACGCAGCGAAAUGCGAUAAGUAAUGUGAAUUGCAGAAUUCAGUGAAUCAUCGAAUCUUUGAACGCACAUUGCGCCCGCUAGUACUCUAGCGGGCAUGCCUGUUCGAGCGUCAUUUCAACCCUCAAGCCCUGCUUGGUGUUGGGGCCCUACGGCUGCCGUAGGCCCUGAAAGGAAGUGGCGGGCUCGCUACAACUCCGAGCGUAGUAAUUCAUUAUCUCGCUAGGGACGUUGCGGCGCGCUCCUGCCGUUAAAGACCAUCUUUAACUCAAGGUUGACCUCGGAUCAGGUAGGAAUACCCGCUGAACUUAAG
rnacentral:rRNA from 1 species